UACAGAGGUCCCAAGCGUUGUUCGGAUUCACUGGGCGUAAAGGGCGCGUAGGCGGCCUGCUAAGUCGAACGUGAAAUCCCUGGGCUCAACCCAGGAACUGCGUCCGAUACUGGUUGGCUUGAAUUCGGGAGAGGGAUGUGGAAUUCCAGGUGUAGCGGUGGAAUGCGUAGAGAUCGGGAAGAACAUCAGUGGCGAAGGCGGCCUGCUGGGCUGUUGCUGACGCUGAGGCGCGACAGCGUGGGGAGCAAACAGG
rnacentral:rRNA from 1 species